CCGGCGCACGGGUGAGUAACACGUAUGCAAUCCACCUGUAACAGGGGGAUAACCCGGAGAAAUCCGGACUAAUACCCCAUAAUAUGGGCGUUCCGCAUGGAGAGCCCAUUAAAGAGAGCAAUUUUGGUUACAGACGAGCAUGCGCUCCAUUAGCCAGUUGGCGGGGUAACGGCCCACCAAAGCGACGAUGGAUAGGGGUUCUGAGAGGAAGGUCCCCCACAUUGGAACUGAGACACGGUCCAA
rnacentral:rRNA from 1 species